AACGAACGCUAGCGGCGUGGAUAAGACAUGCAAGUCGAACGGGCAGCAAUGCCAGUGGCGAACGGGUGCGUAACACGUAGGCAAUAUGCCGGGAAGUGGGGAAUAGCCCAGGGAAACUUGGAUUAAUACCGCAUGCGGCCAUGAAGGACAUCCUUUAUGGUCAAAGGAGGGGCUCGCAAGACCUUUCGCUUCCCGAUUAGCCUGCGGCCUAUCAGCUUGUUGGCGGGGUAACGGCCCACCAAGGCGACGACGGGUAGCUGGUCUGAGAGGAUGACCAGCCACAUUGGAACUGAGACACGGUCCAGACACCUACGGGUGGCAGCAGUCGAGAAUCAUUCACAAUGGGCGAAAGCCUGAUGGUGUGACGCCGCGUGGAGGAUGAAGGUCUUCGGAUUGUAAACUCCUGUCAUUCAUGAGCAAGGUUUAUGGGCUAAUAACUCAGAAACUUGAUAUUAAUGGAAGAGGAAGAGACGGCUAACUCUGUGCCAGCAGCCGCGGUAAUACAGAGGUCUCAAGCGUUGUUCGGAAUCACUGGGCGUAAAGGGUGCGUAGGCGGAACGCCAAGUCAGAUGUGAAAGACCGGGGCUCAACCCCGGAACGGCAUCCGAUACUGGCGAUCUAGAGGGCUCGAGGGGAGUGUGGAAUUCACGGUGUAGCAGUGAAAUGCGUAGAUAUCGUGAGGAACACCUGGCGAAGGCGACACUCUGGAGAGCAACUGACGCUGAGNACGGAGGCCAGGGGAGCGAACGGGAUUAGAUACCCCGGUAGUCCUGGCAGUAACGGUGUGCGUUGGUAUGGGGGGGUUCGACCCCUUCCGUGCCGGAGCUACGCGUUAACGCACCGCCUGGGAAGUACGGUCGCAGAUU
rnacentral:rRNA from 1 species